UAGUCCUUUAAUUGUGGAACAGAAUGAAUGGUCACACCGGCGAAAUUUUUUUAACCCAAAAUUGAAUUUCUCUCCUAAUGAAAAUAUUAGGAUUUCAUUUUUAGACGAUAAGACCCUAUGAAGCUUUACUAGGCACUAGUUUUUUUGGGGCAAACAGAAAUUUUAUUAUUUCUUAAAUGUAAUAUAAUGAUCUUAAUAAAUUUUAAGAAAAAGCUACUCUAGGGAUAACAGCAUUAUUUUUAUAAAAGCCCUUAUUAAUUUAAAAGAUUGUGACCUCGAUGUUGAAUUAAGGAAUGUAUUUUGUGCAGCAGCUAAAUACUUUUAGUCUGUUCGACUAAUCAACCUUA
rnacentral:rRNA from 1 species